GGGGCUGUAGCUCAGUGGUAGGGCGCUGGCCUAGCACGCGUGAGGCACUGGGUUCAAUUCUCAGCACCA
rnacentral:tRNA from 1 species